AAGGCAAUUAAUCUGUGUGACCUCAUUUAAGGCUUCAUUUAAGGGCUGAGUGCCACUGAGGAAGGAUCUCUUUCUGGAGAUCCCUCUUUGGUGGAAGUCUUUCUCUGCAAACCUAGAAUCUUCUGAUACAGAUCACAAGCACCACCAUGAUUCAACUAGCAACACUUUCUGCCUCUGAAGUAUGAUACUCCUUAAGACAAGAUCUGUAAUGGAAAAUGGUUUCUUCAAAACCUCCAGGGUCAGUGACUCUACCACCUCCUGAGGCAGCCUGUUCCAAUAUCUCACUACUCUGCCUGAGAAGCUGUUUUUCCUAAUAUCUAACCUGAAGCUCCAUUGGAGCAACUUGAGGCCAUUACCUCUCACCCUGUCACCGCUGCCUGAGAGAAGAGACCAACCCCCACCUUGCUACAACCUCCUUUCAGGUAAUUGUAGAGAGUGAUGAGGUCUUCACUGACACUCCACUUGUCCAGAUUAAACAAUCCCAGCUCCCUCAGCCACUCCUCAUAAGACUUCUGUUCCAGAGCCUUCAUCAGCUUUGUUGCCCUUCUUUGGUUGUGGUUCAAGGACUCAAUGUCUUUCCUGCAGUUAGGGGGCCCAAAACUGAACACAGUACUAGAAGUGUGUGGCCUAACAAGUGCCAAGUACAGGGGGGCAAUUACUUCCCUGCUGACUACACUAUUUCUGAUUCAAGCCAGGGUGUGACUGGCCCUCUUGGCCACCUGGGCACUCUGCUGCCACAUAUUCAGUCAGCUGUUGACUAAUCUCCCCAGAUCCUUUUCCUCCAUGCAUCUUUCCAGCCACUCUGUCUCAAGCCUGUUGUGUUGCAUAGAGUUUUUAUGACUGAAGUUUGCUUGGUCUUGUUAAAUCUUAUACAAUUGGUUUCACACCAUUGAUUCAUAUGCUAAAUAAUCUAACUGUGAAGAAGGCAGGUAUGAUGCACCACCAGCAUUCCCCAGCUGAAUAUACCCUUUUGAAAGCUAGAUGAAAAGCCAGCUACUUUGUCUUAGAUCUCUUUUGAUCCCUCAGAGAGUUGCCUGGGAAGAGGAGGGGGGAAACUUCAUCAGGGGACACAAAUAGAAAGGGUUGAUGCAAGACAGGGAUUUUCAGUCAAAGGUAUGAAUGCAUACUCAAUCUAGUUUUUGGACUCCUUGGAGAAAGACUUUAUUAAGCUUGAAUGAGUUCAGCUGAGGGUCACUUAGAUGGCUGCAGAGUAUAGAAUCACAAAAUUGCAGGGGUUGGAAGAGUCCUCAAGAGAUCAAGUUCAACAAUCCUGCUAAAGCAGGUUCCCUACAAUAAGUUGCACAGAUAGGCAUCCUGACAGCUCUCUAAUGUCUCCAUAGAAGGAGACUCCACAGCCUCCUUGGGCAACCUGUUCCAGUGCUCUGUUAUCCUUACCAUAAAGAAGUUCUUCUGCAUGUUUGUAUGGAACUUUCCAUAUUCAAGUUUUAGGCCAUCGUUCCUUGUCCUACUGCACUGUGAGGAGUCUGACCUCAUCGAUUUUCUUUCCACUUCCUUUUUGAUAUUUAUAAACAUUAAUCAGAUCUCCCUCCUCAGUUUUCUUUUCCCUGGGCUAAACAAACCCAGGUUACUCGGCCUUUCCUCAUAAGGGAGAUGCUCCAGGCCCAAUAAUCAUCUUUGUGGCCCUCCACUGGAUUCCUUCUAGGAGAUACCUGUCUUUUUUUGAACUGGAGAGCCCAGUAUUAGAUGUAGUAUUCAAAUUGUGGCCUCACCAGGGCAGAGUAGAGGGGGAAGGAUCACCUCCCUCGACCUGCUAGCUACACUCUUUUAAUGCAACCCAGGAUGCCAUUGGCUUUCUCAGCCACAAGGACACACUGCUGGCUCAUGGCCAACCUGUUAUCCACCAGAACAACCAAGUACUCUUCUGCAGAGCUCCUUUCCAGCAGGUCAGCCCCUAAUCUGCACUCAUGCAUGAGGUUAUUCCUCCCCAAGUGCAAGACUCUUUCCACAUUUCAUGGACCUUCUUCUUUUCUUUUAGUUUAUCUAUGAGUUCCUUGUUCAUCCAUGCAUGCCUCUUGCCACCUUUCCCUGAUUUCUUACUCUUAGGGAUGCACUGAUCUUGAGUGUGGAAGAAACGGUGUUUAAGUGUUAACCAGCUCUCAUGGGCCCCCUUAACUUCCAAAGCUCUAGCCCACAGCAUACCUCCAAGUAUGUCUUUGAUGAGGUCAAAUUCAGCUCUCCUGAAAUAGCAAUCUGAUGUUGAAAAUGCGUACACCUAGGCUUGAUCAUCCAAAGAGAAAACCCAGCCUUCCCCAUAAACAAGUACUGUAUUGUCAUUAAAAAACUCCAACAAACCAUGA